UACGAAGGGUGCAAGCGUUAGUCGGAAUUACUGGGCGUAAAGCGUGCGUAGGCGGUCUCUUAAGUCCGUUGUGGAAGCCCUGGGCUCAACCUGGGAACUGCAGUGGAUACUGAGAAGCUAGAGUGUGUCAGAGGAUGGUGGAAUUCCCGGUGUAGCGGUGAAAUGCGUAGAGAUCAGGAGGAACACCAAUGGCGAAGGCAGCUCACUGGGACGGUACUGACGCUGAGACGCGAAAGCGUGGGGAGCAAACAGG
rnacentral:rRNA from 1 species